rnacentral:rRNA from 1 species
GACGGCCCAGACUCCUACGGGAGGCAGCAGUAGGGAAUCUUCCGCAAUGGACGAAAGUCUGACGGAGCAACGCCGCGUGAACGAAGAAGGCCUUCGGGUCGUAAAGUUCUGUUGUUAGGGAAGAACAAGUACCAGAGUAACUGCUGGUACCUUGACGGUACCUAACCAGAAAGCCACGGCUAACUACGUGCCAGCAGCCGCGGUAAUACGUAGGUGGCAAGCGUUGUCCGGAAUUAUUGGGCGUAAAGCGCGCGCAGGUGGUUCCUUAAGUCUGAUGUGAAAGCCCACGGCUCAACCGUGGAGGGUCAUUGGAAACUGGGGAACUUGAGUGCAGAAGAGGAAAGUGGAAUUCCAAGUGUAGCGGUGAAAUGCGUAGAGAUUUGGAGGAACACCAGUGGCGAAGGCGACUUUCUGGUCUGUAACUGACACUGAGGCGCGAAAGCGUGGGGAGCAAACAGGAUUAGAUACCCUGGUAGUCCACGCCGUAAACGAUGAGUGCUAAGUGUUAGAGGGUUUCCGCCCUUUAGUGCUGCAGCUAACGCAUUAAGCACUCCGCCUGGGGAGUACGGCCGCAAGGCUGAAACUCAAAGGAANGACNGA